GCCGGGCGUGGUGGCGCACGCCUUUAAUCCCAGCACUCGGGAGGCAGAGGCAGGCGGAUUUCUGAGUUCGAGGCCAGCCUGGUCUACAGAGUGAGUUCCAGGACAGCCAGGGCUAUACAGAGAAACCCUGUCUCGAAAAAAAAACCAAAAGAGACAGAGUAUCUCUGUAUAGCCCUGGCUGUCCUGGACCUCACUCUGUAGACCAGGCUAGCUUCGAACUCGGAAACCUGCCUCUG
rfam:Mus musculus chromosome 15, GRC primary reference assembly.